rnacentral:rRNA from 1 species
UACGUAGGGGGCAAGCGUUGUCCGGAAUCAUUGGGCGUAAAGCGCGUGUAGGCGGCCCGAUAAGUCCGCCGUGAAAGUCCAGGGCUCAACCCUGGGAUGCCGGUGGAUACUGUCGGGCUCGAGUCCGGAAGAGGCGAGUGGAAUUCCUGGUGUAGCGGUGAAAUGCGCAGAUAUCAGGAGGAACACCAAUGGCGAAGGCAGCUCGCUGGGACGUGACUGACGCUGAGACGCGAAAGCGUGGGGAGCAAACAGG